rnacentral:tRNA from 1 species
GUUCUCAUGGUUGAAUAACAACGGUGGUUUUUCAAGUCAUUGGUCUCGGUUAAAGCCCGGGUGGGAACC